GAUGAACGCUAGCUGGAGGCUUAAUACAUGCAAGUCGAGCGGGAUUGGGUAGCAAUACCCAUGAGAGCGGCGCACGGGUGAGUAACGCGUACACGACCUACCUCUAACAGGGGGAUAGCCCUGGGAAACUGGGAUUAAUACCGCAUAUAAUUCUGAAUAAUAAAGGUCUGGAAUGAAAGCUCCGGCGGUCAGAGAUGGGUGUGCGUCUGAUUAGCUAGUUGGUAGGGUAACGGCCUACCAAGGCGAUGAUCAGUAGGGGGCGUGAGAGCGCGGUCCCCCACACGGGUACUGAGACACGGACCCGACUCCUACGGGAGGCAGCAGUAAGGAAUAUUGGUCAAUGGGCGCAAGCCUGAACCAGCCAUCCUGCGUGCAGGAAGAAGGCCCUAUGGGUUGUAAACUGCUUUUGUCAGGGAAUAAACCUGUGGAUUUAUCCGCAGCUGAAGGUACCUGAAGAAUAAGCACCGGCUAACUCCGUGCCAGCAGCCGCAGUAACAC
rnacentral:rRNA from 1 species